UUUGUUCAGGUAAUACUUUGUUAGACCAUUAAAUAGGUCAGUGGUCUGUGACAAUAUGCCAUUAAAUAGGUCAGUGGUCUGUGACAAUAUGCCAUUAAAUAGGUCAGUGGUCUGUGACAAUAUGCCUUUAACGGACAAGCUACACAUACAUUUGUAUGCCAAUGCUCAAAUAUGUUUUUUUUUCCUUUCUGCACUUUAGGGAAUUCCUAUUUACAUGUUAAAAGGUUGUAUUGAGUAAAUUUGGGGUAAUUUAAAUUCAUAACAAUUGCAUUUACUUUUCUUUUAACCAAAUUUAGGGCAGGUUUCUUAUUUUGAGAAUGUUCAUUUGAUACAGUCAGAUUAAUUUCCUAUCCAACUGCAAUUUUAAAAUAACAAAUUGUGAAGUUAAGAGCAAUCAUUGGCAAAAUAAUACUUUUUGAGUUUAUAUACUAAACUCGCAGAAAAUGCACCAACCAGUUUUCAGUUGUUAUUGCUAUUGCAUGUUUGAUGUAGCUACGGAACACACAGUAACCCUGACACUUGUAUACAAUUUUGGGUUAUUUAUUGCCAACCAGAAUACAUCCAGUUGCACACAGUUGUCUUCUUAUAUCUUUCAGUGGACUUCCAAUGUGCUCUAGUGGUUUCGUUAAACAAAACAAACUUUAACUUUCAGUAUAUUUAAAAAGGCCACCAACAAUAUUCUAGUGUAAGCCUUCAGAGCAGAAUCACUAUUAAAAAAAACCUUCACAGCAAACGGAUAGAA